AUUGAACGCUGGCGGCAGGCUUAACACAUGCAAGUCGAGCGGAGUGAUGGUGCUUGCACUAUCACUUAGCGGCGGACGGGUGAGUAAUGCUUAGGAAUCUGCCUAUUAGUGGGGGACAACAUCUCGAAAGGGAUGCUAAUACCGCAUACGUCCUACGGGAGAAAGCAGGGGAUCACUUGUGACCUUGCGCUAAUAGAUGAGCCUAAGUCGGAUUAGCUAGUUGGUGGGGUAAAGGCCUACCAAGGGGACGAUCUGUAGCGGGUCUGAGAGGAUGAUCCGCCACACUGGGACUGAGAGACGGCGCAGACUCCGACGGGAGGCAGGAGGGGGGAAUAUUGGACAAUGGGGGGAACCCUGAUCCAGCCAUGCCGCGUGUGUGAAGAAGGCCUUAUGGUUGUAAAGCACUUUAAGCGAGGAGGAGGCUCUUUUGGUUAAUACCCAAGAUGAGUGGACGUUACUCGCAGAAUAAGCACCGGCUAACUCUGUGCCAGCCGCCGCAGUAAUAC
rnacentral:rRNA from 1 species